rnacentral:rRNA from 1 species
GGGGGUAAGUUUGUAGGCGGGAUACUAUGCAUAUCGAACAGAUGAACCACUUCGGUGGGGAUUAGUGGCGAACGGGUGAGUAACACGUGGGCAAUCUGCCCUGCACUCUGGGACAAGCCCUGGAAACGGGGUCUAAUACCGGAUACUGACCAUCGCAGGCAUCUGUGAUGUUCGAAAGCUCCGGCGGUGCAGGAUGAGCCCGCGGCCUAUCAGCUUGUUGGUGAGGUAAUGGCUCACCAAGGCGACGACGGGUAGCCGGCCUGAGAGGGCGACCGGCCACACUGGGACUGAGACACGGCCCAGACUCCUACGGGAGGCAGCAGUGGGGAAUAUUGCACAAUGGGCGAAAGCCUGAUGCAGCGACGCCGCGUGAGGGAUGACGGCCUUCGGGUUGUAAACCUCUUUCAGCAGGGAAGAAGCGAAAGUGACGGUACCUGCAGAAGAAGCGCCGGCUAACUACGUGCCAGCAGCCGCGGUAAUACGUAGGGCGCGAGCGUUGUCCGGAAUUAUUGGGCGUAAAGAGCUCGUAGGCGGCUUGUCGCGUCGGUUGUGAAAGCCCGGGGCUUAACCCCGGGUCUGCAGUCGAUACGGGCAGGCUAGAGUUCGGUAGGGGAGAUCGGAAUUCCUGGUGUAGCGGUGAG